CAAUAGCGUAUAUUAAAGUUGUUGCGGUUAAAAAGCUCGUAGUUGGAUUUCUGCUUGGGACAACCGGUCCGCCCACUGGGUGAGUAUCUGGCUUGGCCCGGGCAUCUUCUUGGGGAACGUUACUGCACUUGACUGUGUGGUGCGGAGCCCAGGACCUUUACUUUGAGGAAAUUAGAGUGUUCAAGGGAGGCGUACGCCUCGCAUAGGUUAGCAUGGAAUAAUGCUGUAAGACCAUGGUAUUGCUGUGUUGGUUUCUAUCACCUAAGGUAAUGAUAAACAGGGAUAGUUGGGGGCAUUCGUAUUUAACUGUCAGAGGUGAAAUUCUUGGAUUUGUUAAAGACGAACGACUGCGAAAGCAUUUGCCAAGGAUGUUUUCAUUGAUCAAGAACGAAAGUUAGGGGAUCGAAGACGAUUAGAUACCGU
rnacentral:rRNA from 1 species